GGAGGAAUCUCUGGAGAGAGUCGCACUACUUUGUUGUAGAAAGCGACCGCCGAAGGAGCAAGCCCAUAUUGGGUGAAACUCUCAGGCAAAAAGGACAGAGGAGUGGAA
rnacentral:ncRNA from 2 species